GAGAAGAACGUAGCGAAAUGCGAUAAGUAAUGUGAAUUGCAGAAUUCAGUGAAUCAUCGAAUCUUUGAACGCACCUUGCGCCCUUUGGCCAUUCCGAAGGGCAUGCCUGUUUGAGUAUCAUGAACACCUCAACUCUUCAUGGUUUUCCGUGAUGAGCUUGGACUUUGGGGGUCUUGCUGGCCUAUGGUCAGCUCCUCUAAAAUAAAUCAGCUUGCCAGUGUUUGGUGGGUAUCACAGGUGUGAUAACUAUCUACGCUUGUGGUUUUCCACCAGGUAACCUUCAGCAGUGGAGGUUCGCUGGAGCUCACAGAUGUGUCUCUCCUCAGUGAGGACAGCUCUUUGAAUGUUUGAUCUCAAAUCAGGUAGGACUACCCGCUGAACUUAAGCAUAUCAAUAAGCGGAGGA
rnacentral:misc_RNA from 1 species